rnacentral:tRNA from 1 species
CGGGGUGUAGCUCAGUGGUAGAGCACAGGGCUGGGGGUCCUGGUGCCGGAGGUUCGAUUCCUCUCACCCCGA